UACGAAGGGGGCUAGCGUUGUUCGGAAUUACUGGGCGUAAAGGGCGCGUAGGCGGUACUUCAAGUCAGGCGUGAAAGCCCCGGGCUCAACCUGGGAACCGCGCUUGAGACUGGAGAACUAGAGUUCGGGAGAGGAUGGUGGAAUUCCCAGUGUAGAGGUGAAAUUCGUAGAUAUUGGGAAGAACACCGAUGGCGAAGGCAGCCAUC
rnacentral:rRNA from 1 species